AACGUGCAGCUGCCGCCACCGGCCAGGCUGCUGUCACCGCUGUCACCGCUGCCGCCGCCGCCGCUGCUUCAAAACCAUAGCGGCUACUGCAAAGAAAGGGUUACUCCUCUCUUGGAGUCAAGUGGCUGCAAACUUCACCUGCUUUUCAUGUACCUUCUCCUGCAAACUUGUACGUCCUUCCGUGCAGAAGGAGCAAGGAAAACCAUUACCAGCAUCACAGGGAACAUCAUAAUGAAGGACACCCCCGGAAGUUUUUACAGCAGCACCAGAAUGACAGAAGAUCUGUAUUGGGUUCUGAGUUGGAUAGUAACUGCCUCUUCACCUCACUUGCCUUCACUAUCAACUUCCAUAACCAGUGAAAAAUAAUGAAAUAAUGGCAAUCAAUCCUCUUCUGCUCUUGGCAUCUCAGCUUUUCCCAAGCCUUAACUCUCCACCUCAACUGCUAUUCCAUCUUAAACAUUUCUGGAAGAAUUUCUCACCUCAAUUUACCAGCUCACUAAUUUUCACGUUGCCAAUAGCUCAUGAGAAUUUUAAUUAAAAAAUGAGCUUUGGAUAGCAGAUGUAAGGUGCACUGAGAUAAGGAAGAUAAAAGCAGACUCGAGGGGUAUGCCUGCAGCUGCAGAAAGAUGUAUGGGAACAAACAUACAACCCUCCCUCCCAGAUAAGUGCAACAACAACAACAACAACAACAAAACAAAACACAGAAAAAAGCCUCAGAAGAAAUUCAAGCUUCUAAUAAACUCUCCCAUCCUGAAUCCUGAAAAACUCUUAGUCUGUUAGAGAUUGUGCCUCUAACUUAACUCAGCCAGAUGCCC
rnacentral:lncRNA from 10 species